GACGAACGCUGGCGGCGUGCUUAACACAUGCAAGUCGAACGCUGAAGCCCUUUCGGGGGUGGAUGAGUGGCGAACGGGUGAGUAACACGUGGGUAAUCUGCCCUGUACUUCGGGAUAAGCCCUGGAAACGGGGUCUAAUACCGGAUAGGACCUGUCCUCGCAUGGGGGUGGGUGGAAAGUUCCGGCGGUAUGGGCUGAGCCCGCGGCCUAUCAGCUGGUUGGUGGGGUGACGGCCUACCAAGGCGACGACGGGUAGCCGGCCUGAGAGGGUGACCGGUCACACUGGGACUGAGACACGGCCCAGACUCCUACGGGAGGCAGCAGUGGGGAAUCUUGCGCAAUGGGCGAAAGCCUGACGCAGCAACGCCGCGUGGGGGAUGACGGCCUUCGGGUUGUAAACCUCUUUCGGCAUCGACGAAGGCAUCUCUGUGUGGGGUGUUGACGGUAGGUGUAGAAGAAGCACCGGCUAACUACGUGCCAGCCGCCGCCGUAA
rnacentral:rRNA from 1 species